rnacentral:sRNA from 1 species
ACCCUGGUGAGUGGCGGAACCAUCUUGGCAACAGUCCCACUGGUCGUAGAUGCGGACAAGCUGCCUAUCAACCGGCUGGCAGCUGGCAGCAAGGCCUCGGGCUCUGCCCAGAGCCGUGGAGAGAAGCGCACAGCCCACAACGCCAUUGAGAAGCGCUACCGCUCCUCCAUCAACGACAAAAUCAUUGAGCUCAAGGAUCUGGUGGUGGGCACUGAGGCAAAGCUGAAUAAAUCUGCUGUCUUGCGCAAGGCCAUCGACUACAUUCGCUUUCUGCAACACAGCAACCAGAAACUCAAGCAGGAGAACCUAAGUCUGCGCACUGCUGUCCACAAAAGCAGUGAGUCCUGGCUUUAUUGAGCUCCAGUCUGGCCUCU